CCGUGCGAAGUCGCAAGACGAUGUAUACGGACUGACGCCUGCCCGGUGCUGGAAGGUUAAGAGGACCGGUUAGUUCUUCGGAGCGAAGCUGAGAAUUUAAGCCCCAGUAAACGGCGGUGGUAACUAUAACCAUCCUAAGGUAGCGAAAUUCCUUGUCGGGUAAGUUCCGACCUGCACGAAUGGCGUAACGACUUCUCCACUGUCUCAACCACGAACUCGGCGAAAUUGCACUACGAGUAAAGAUGCUCGUUACGCGCAGCAGGACGGAAAGACCCCGGGACCUUUACUACAGCUUGGUAUUGGUGUUCGGUACGGCUUGUGUAGGAUAGGUGGGAGACUGUGAAGCAUGCACGCCAGUGUGUGUGGAGUCAACGUUGAAAUACCACUCUGGUCGUUCUGGAUAUCUAACCUCGGUCCGUGAUCCGGAUCAGGGACAGUGCCUGGUGGGUAGUUUAACUGGGGCGGUUGCCUCCUAAAAGGUAACGGAGGCGCCCAAAGGUUCCCUCAGCCUGGUUGGCAAUCAGGUUUUGAGUGUAAGUGCACAAGGGAGCUUGACUGUGAGACAGGCAUGUCGAGCAGGGACGAAAGUCGGGACUAGUGAUCCGGCGGUGGCUUGUGGAAGCGCCGUCGCUCAACGGAUAAAAGGUACCCCGGGGAUAACAGGCUGAUCUUGCCCAAGAGUCCAUAUCGACGGCAUGGUUUGGCACCUCGAUGUCGGCUCGUCGCAUCCUGGGGCUGGAGUAGGUCCCAAGGGUUGGGCUGUUCGCCCAUUAAAGCGGUACGCGAGCUGGGUUUAGAACGUCGUGAGACAGUUCGGUCCCUAUCCGCUGUGCGCGUAGGAAACUUGAGAAGAGCUGUCCCUAGUACGAGAGGACCGGGAUGGACGAACCUCUGGUGUGUCAGUUGUUCUGCCAAGAGCACGGCUGAUUAGCUACGUUCGGAAGUGAUAACCGCUGAAAGCAUCUAAGCGGGAAGCACGCUUCAAGAUGAGGUUUCCAUGGGCUUCGGCCCGAGAGGCUCCCAGCUAGACUACUGGGUUGAUAGGCCAGACGUGGAAGCACAGUAAUGUGUGUAGCUGACUGGUACUAAUAAGCCGAUAACUUGACACAACAAAG
rnacentral:rRNA from 1 species